rnacentral:misc_RNA from 1 species
CCGCAUACUUGAUUUAAAAAGCAAACCUACCUUAGUACAAGUCAGUUGUAAACCGGCAUUCGCUCGCCACGUCCGUCACAAUGAAGCCAUUAUUUCUAAUAUGCUGUAUGGUUCUGGCUGUCAUGGCGACAGAAGACCAAAAAGCACUUGAAACCUUGCUCCACGAUGGGAACAACAAAUUCACUACAAACAUGUUUAAAGAAGUCGCAAAAGCAAAUCCAGAUAAAAGUAUGGUCAUAUCAGCGUUCUCCGUGUUGACCCCACUCGCACAGCUUGCCCUGGCUUCCGUGGGGGAGUCUCAUGACCAACUUCUGGAUGCCAUCGGCAUGCCGAAUGACAAUGUUACUAAGGAAGUUUUCUCUUUGGCAAACACAAGAGUGCGUUCCAUCAAAGAUGUGAUACUGAAGCAAGCUAGUAAAAUUUACGUUGCCAAGGGCUUUGAGUUAAAUACUGAUUUUGCCAGUGUAACAAAACAGACAUUCGAUUCUGAAGUCCAAAACAUUGACUUCACACUGUCACAAAGUGCUGCCAACGAAAUGAAUACUUGGGUCGAACAACAAACUAAUAACCGAAUCAAAGAUUUAGUUGACCCGGACAACUUAAACUCUGACACUAGAGCUGUCUUACUUAACGCAAUUUACUUCAAGGGAGAAUGGGAAGCAAAAUUCGACAAAGAACUUACCCGCGAGAGAGAUUUUCAUGUAAAUAAUAAAAUUACAAAAAAAGUUCCUAUGAUGUACAGAAGAGGAGAUUACAAGUAUGGCGAAAGCGCUGAACUUAAUUCCCUGAUAUUAUCAAUGCCCUACAAAGGAGGUGAAACUUCUUUAGUUAUUGUACUACCGAACGAAAUUGAAGGUAUUGUACAACUAAAAGAAAAAUUGAAUGAUCCAAAAGUAUUAGACAAUGCUCUCGCCAAUUUGUAUGAAAGAGAAGUCGAUGUGUAUCUUCCCAAAUUCAAAAUUGAAACUACGACUGACCUAAAGGAAAUUCUAAAAAAGAUGCACGUUGACAAUAUGUUUAGCGCCCAAAAGGCUAGACUAAAUAAUCUUCUUAAAAAUAUGGAGGAUAAUUUAUAUAUUGACUCAGCUACACAAAAGGCUUUCAUUGAAGUAAAUGAAGAGGGUGCAGAGGCUGGUGCUGCAAAUGUUUUUACAGUUUUUACAGUCGGCGGACGACAGUUCUACGAUUUUAAUGCAAAUCAUCCAUUUAUGUUCUUCAUAUCAUACGGGCCUAAUAUUAUAUUUAGUGGACAAUACUAUUCUUAGUUUUUGAGGCAGCCGAUAGAAUUGAAUGGGUUGGGCAAUAUACCUACGAAUUUAAUGCAAAUCAUCCAUUUAUAUUCAUCUUAUUAGAUGAACAGAACAUUAUAUUUAAUGGACAAUACUAUUCUUAGAAUUCGGUUUUGUUCCCACCAGCCUUGGACUCGGAUUCUAUGCCAAUAGACCUUUUUACUUUGUUCUAAAAUAUAAAUCUUUGUCUUUAUUCAGUGGUAUAAUGUACGCCCAGUAACUUCCACUAUCAUUAAAUUGCUUCCACUUUAUACUUAGCUUAAAUAUUCAUAACAACUUGAUUUUUAGAGUAAAACUUAAUUAUUUUUUUUAUAUGAUCCAUGUAAAAGCUAUACAAUAAUACAGAAAUAUAAACUUAUAUUUUGUA